UUAACUCCUUCUUACAUCUUUGAGGAAGAUGUCAAGCAUUUUCAUUCGGUACAAAAAACUGCUUGUGACAAAUUUGAUCCAUCCUUCUAUCCUCGAUUUAAAAAAUGGUGUGAUGACUACUUCUACAUCAAGCACCGAGGCGAAAGACGAGGACUUGGAGGAAUAUUUUUUGAUGAUCUAAAUGACUACGAUCAGGAGAUGCUUCUAUCAUUUGCCACCGAGUGUGCCAAUUCUG